rnacentral:rRNA from 1 species
UCGCCACGGUAAUACCAGCUCUCCGAGUGGUGGGGAUGAUUAUUGGGCCUAAAGCAUCCGUAGCCGGCUGAGCAAGUUCUCCGUUAAAUCCAGCGAUUCAAUCGUUGGAUUGCGGGGGGUACUGCUUGGCUAGGGGGCGGGAGAGGUCGACGGUAUUCUCGGGGUAGGGGUGAAAAUCCUAUAAUCCCGAGAGGACCACCAGUGGCGAAGGC